rnacentral:lncRNA from 1 species
UCUCUCUCUCUCUCUCUCUCUCUUUUUCUUUUUCUAAUCAUUUUAUCAUCGAGAGGAUGGAUAAAGACUUAAAGGUUUAUUUCUGAAAUCGACUUGACUUUUUAGCCUUCUUCCUCUUCUUUCCUUUAUAAUAUUGAACAACCAUCUAAUUAUACUUUGAUAUAUACUUACUAGUUAAUGCUCAACAUGCAGUGAUCUAUGACCAAACAUAUAGUUUACCUAGACCAUGAGAAGUUGACAACAAUGUGAAACAUUAAAAAAAAAAAAAAAAAAAAAAAACAGUGUGAAACAUUUGAUCCAUUCUAAGAAAAAGAAGCUCGAUCUUGGUCUACAUACAUGCCUGAGUAGAUGUUGCGUUCUUGUUUGAUUGGGUAAAUGCCUAGCCUAGUGGUUACGAUCUUGAGUUCAAUAAUUAGUUUGUGAAUAAGAACGCAACAAUUAGUUUUGUUUUACAAAAAAAAUAAAAAAAUAAUUAGUUUCUUUUUUUCGUCAAAAAAAUAAAAAUAAAAAUAAAAAUAAUUAGUUUGUUAACAGAAAUGUAUAUUGUAUAUAACUUACCCAAGUCUACCACACACACACAAAAAAAAAACAAUGGGACAUGCAAAUGGUUACGUGCGUGGUCCUCUUCUAUUUUAUUUGACGAUUUUUCUCAAGUGUCGUUUUAUUUAUAAUAUAUCUUAUCAUUUGCAGAUUAUAGGAUCAUGAAAUAUCUGUC